AAUAAUCUUUGUUAGGUGAGGCUCCUGUAUAGAGAAACGCUGCUGCCCAAAAAUGUCGAGAGACGCCAAUGGGUCAACAGGAACGGUCGGAUUAAGGCCCUUUUUAAUGUAGCUGGUUAUAAAAACCUAUGCUAUACAGUGCUAAAACUCAACGAGGGAGUGGUAUAC
rfam:Bacillus cereus Rock4-18 chromosome, whole genome shotgun sequence.